rnacentral:ncRNA from 1 species
GUGGAACUGAUGAUAGAGAAUAGUAGGGUAAAUUGCGUGAGCAGAGAGGACUCGCCUUAGGCUGAAAGCGAAUCCGCAUGGCAUUUAUCACGAAAGAACACUCUGUAGGUUUCCUGCUGAACGCUCUAAAAAUGAGCCAAUAGGCGGAGAACGUGAAUCUGCGUUAAGGAUUUGAGCGGGAACAUGCUGGAUUAUGUUCCAACUAGGGUGGCACCACGGGUAUAACUCUCGUCCCUACU